rnacentral:rRNA from 1 species
UACGUAGGGGGCAAGCGUUGUCCGGAUUUAUUGGGCGUAAAGAGCGUGUAGGCGGUUUGGUAGGUCCGUUGUGAAAACUCGAGGCUCAACCUCGAGACGCCGAUGGAAACCAUCAGACUAGAGUCCGGAAGAGGAGAGUGGAAUUCCUGGUGUAGCGGUGAAAUGCGCAGAUAUCAGGAGGAACACCAAUGGCGAAGGCAGAUCUCUGGGCCGUAACUGACGCUGAGGAGCGAAAGCAUGGGGAGCGAACAGG